ACUGUAUACUGUUAGAGCUUGGAGUUGAGACCACUGGUGGCCAAUGAACUCACAAGUAUAUGUGAGGGGCAAGUUUUUCGCUAACACCAUAAGGGUCUCUAGCCCAAUGAGUGCAAUUUGAUAGUAAUCCUUGCUACAAGU